AUGAUAAUCGAGAUUGUCAUGUUAAUCCUUUUCAACCGGUGUGCUUCUCUUCAAGUGGAUCCGAUCAUUUUAACAUCGCAAGAUCACCUCUCGGUUUUCUCAAUGGUGUUUGUUUCAUCCGUCUCCAAGUUGCCUUUGUUUUUCCCGCCCACCCACCCUUUUUCUUCAAGGAUUCAGAUUCUUAAUCAAGUAUCCUUUUAUUCAUGUGAAGUCUCUCCAUUUUGUUUUCCUUCUUGGUCUUACCUGGUGAUUCUCAUGAAGAUUCUAACAGAGCUUCAAGUUCGUCACUCUUCACUCGUUUUCUUCUCCGGUGGAUUCAAUUCAAGCUUUUGGUGUUGA
rnacentral:rRNA from 1 species